rnacentral:rRNA from 1 species
AAACUUUACACUGCGGGAAACCGCGAUAAGGGGACCCCGAGUGCCAGCACCUAGUGCUGGCUGUCCCGCUGUCUAAACAACAGUGGUUAGCAAGGGCCGGGCAAGACCGGUGCCAGCCGCCGCGGUAACACCGGCGGCCCGAGUGGUAGCCGUUAUUAUUGGGUUUAAAGGGUCCGUAGCCGGCCUGUUAAGUCUCUUGGGAAAUCUGGCGGCUUAAUCGUCAGGCGUCCAAGAGAUACUGACAGGCUUGGGACCGGGAGAGAUGGGAGGUACUCCAGGGGUAGGGGUGAAAUCUUGUAAUCCUUGGGGGACCACCGAUGGCGAAGGCAUCCCAUCAGAACGGGUCCGACGGUGAGGGACGAAAGCUGGGGGCACGAACCGG